CCAUUGUCUUAUGGGCAAGGGAGAAAACAGCACCAGAGUGAAGGGCAAGGUGUGUGAACAGCAGCCAAAGGGCCUCGGCACUAUCAGUGGGCCCAGAAACCCGAGGUGACAAAGGCGUGAUAGGAACAGAGAUGAGAGGUUGAGCCUGCUUAAAGGAGAUAGGAGGAGACCAGGGUAAAAGUGAAACACGGAGAACUUUCUAGAGCAGUUUUGUGGCAUUAGGAGCACACAUGAAAGUUUUGGGUAAAAUGGGGCCAAAAGAAGUUGCUUUUAAAACUAGAAGUCACUUCUGUGUCAUACGCUGAUAGGGACUACAGAGGAGGAAGACGUAGGAGGGAGUGGGAAAUGUGGCUGGAAUACUGUCCUUGACCGGCUGAGAUCGGACGGGUGAUUCACAGGUGGAGAGGUUGGCUUUGCAGAAGCACUUGCCACGUUCUUCCUUGAUGUGGACAAGGAAACAAGAGGACACAAGGGCGGGUGUGUGGUCUGGCCAUGAAGACAGGAAAGGAAGCAGGGUCAUCUAUCAGGAGGAUCGAUGAGGAAGGUGUUAGGGGUCUGAAGGGAGAAGUGAAGGUUCUCUUGGCGAGAGGGAGGGUGAUGUGUCAGGCCAUAGUGUGUGAUAACCCGUGGGCGUGGACCGAAGAUGAGAACAUUCAACAUUGGUGUGGCAUCCUCCUGCCCCCAAACAAGCAUGGAUAAAGGAAAAAGCGGACUUGACCGUGGGUGCGGUUUUACAAGGAGAUGAGGGGGGACAGAGGUGUCAAAGGGACCCAGAAGGGAGCAGUCACAUGGCUGACCACUGAAGGUAAGUUUCACUCUAGAAAGAAGGGCUUCCGGCUCGGUAAGUGGGAAAAUGUGAGGUCUUUUGCUUUGCCAAGACUGACUGUGGAUGGAAAAAGUCUGAGCCUCAUUGCCCGGAGCCAUCAUUAACUCGGUGGCUCCCUGAUGACUUCAUGGAGGUGACCUGGCUCCUGAACCUGCUCUCCUAAUCAGCUCGCCAAGAGACGGGACACAGCACAUGGGCUGGCAGGGGAACAGAGGUAAGGGGCUGUCAUGUUUUAUUAAACUUGCCAGUGGGCCACCGUGGAGCACCCCAUUCGUUAAAACAAAAGCUUUCCUGCCUCAUCGGCCAGUCUGCCUUGGCAGGGGUAACUCCAGCAGCGGCCUGGACAUGGGCCAGGUGUCUCCCUGCUUCCACUGAACUGAAGGAGCGCCGCCACACGGUUGUCUGUCCUGCCUUCCUGUAAUGGUUGGCCUCCUUCCCAGUCUGACAGCCCCACCUCAAUUUGGUCCUCUGAGUUCUUAAAGAGGACAGAAGGUUGGGGGUGGGGGUCCCUGGCUUCUAGGACCAAGCCCUUGGCUGCUCUGCUCUAGCUCGUCUCUUCCUUACCUAACCUGGUCCUCAUGAGAGAGGUAGACGGACCUUGGCUGCAAGCCUCCUUCUCCCACAUGCAGACCCAGGAUGUGCCGGUUCAGCCUUGCCUACCCGCUGGCCGCCAAGCUCCAGAACCAGGGCAACAAAUAAAUACCACAACGACAGGGAACACUGCAAAGGACCUCAGGGGGACAGACUUCAGGCUGUUAAUGGAAGAACAGAACUGCAGAAAUGAAGAAACCUGCAUGUGUAGGGUCCUUCCCCUGGAGAGCCCUUCUGAGUGUGGACGUGCCCUUGUCCGUGAUGUUGUGAAGAAGCAUGAGGCAGAGGAGCAAGGGGUGAGAUCUGAAAGUCUUUCCUUCUCCUCCCACCAAUGAAGUUUCCAGAGUCCCUCUUCUGUUUUAGCCACAUGCCUUUUCUCUUCUGUCCUUCAAACCAAGUACUCGCUGACAUUUUCCAGCAACCCCGGCCAAUCGCCGUGCCCAGAACCUCCUGAAGAGAUGGGAACAUGAGAAUUCUUUUUCCUAUGUCUUCUUCACACAGAGAUUUAAAGCUGUUAUCCAGAGCUUCCCAUCGACACGCCGUUACUCAUGCCUGCAGCCCUCUGUGCUGUAAAAGACAGUGACUUUAGGUAAAAUAGGAGAAUGUUACAAGGAUAGAGCCCAAGAGCUCGAAACCCAGGUAAAUACCACUGAGAACACACCACAUAGAAAGAUAACCUAGCGGACAGACAGCAGGGAACUCUUGCAGGUUAGCAACCCCUGAAAGCGGCCCACGGGGGUGAAAGUUCCGUUCAAACCCACGAUCUCAAAGGCGAGGAAUUGUUCUGAGGCUUCCCCACUCGAGAAAGAGGCAGAAGCAGUACUGAAGACUAUAGCUGAAGGCUCUGCUCUACCUGGAGAGGACGGGGAAAUAACAUAUUCUUGAAACAGGACGCAGGCCCAGCCUACCACGGGAUCAGGCUAGGAAAGCCCACACCAUAAACACCAGGCCUGCAGGAGACACCUGGACCACAGGACCCCUACAAAACCACUCAGCAGAGGAACCUGAAGGACUUCUGACUCAUCAGUCUCUCCACGCUGGCUCCCUGGCCCAAGCGAGCACAUGAUCCCCUUAAAGGCCUCAGCAUCCCAGCAUGAAUGUUGGUAAGUUAACGGUUUCCCCAUCCUCUGCUACCCCUGAUGCCCAGGCACUCACCACCCAGAGCAGAGCUCCGCGGAGCAGAAGGCCCUAAUGUACCCAUCCACACAUCCUAGCAGGCCCUGCGCAUGCAGGGCACACCUGAGACUGCUCUACCUUUGCUGUCCACGCAUCGUGCAGGGGCUCCACCCACAUCUCCACGCCCUGGCCCUUCACAGACCAACUUCAUGUUUUUCCCUCUAACCACCAAAGAAGCAUCCUACUGUCCAGUCGCGCUCAACCUGAGUGCAGAAGGCCCAGGCGGGUGUUAGCUGCCCGGAGUAAGAAUGGAACUGCACCGAGCCUCUGCCUGCUUGCUCCCCGAGCAGAGUGAAGGAAGAGGCUUCCCACACGUCUUUAAGGACCUGAUGAUCAAGAAGAUACAGAAACUCUGAAUUGCUCUCCUUGGUGUUUUUCCUAAACAGUGCUAAUAAAAUCUUAAACCCACGUGGCAGCCCACUGCUCAUCAACCAUCCACUGCCCUCAGGGUGUACCAGUCUGUGUAGAUUAUAAAUAAAGACUAAAAUAUGCAGCGUGCUCCACACAGGUUCCUUGGGGCCUGUGGAAGGGGACCCAGCCUCCUCCCUGCUGCCUGCUGCCCCCAGUUGGGAGAAGGCUGUCCUUACAGAGUUGUUGCCUAGAGGAAGCUCCCCUGGACAUUGACACACCACUACAAGGACCUGCUAUCCAUCCCUGGA
rnacentral:sRNA from 1 species